CCAGCCCGUUGCAGUGCAGCCUAGGAAGGACCCUCGCUCACGAUGCUGGCCAAACCAGCCGCGGAUGGAGGAGCCACAGGACCGUCUCUGACCACUGUGGAUUAACGAUCCCUAGAUUCCUAGCCGGACCUUUUUGGGAGGUGCGCUGUAUCUGAUUUCCGGUGGCAGGGAGGUGUAGUUGCCAUGGUAAUUAGAGAAAGGCCGAGGUCCGUCCGGCUUCGGUGAGCGGAUCGUGGAAUCCGUGCAGAGAAUUGGCUGCGCCCGUUCGUCUGUAAACUGCAAUUAGUAGAAUGGCCAUCAGUCCAGGAGGUGAUGCAGCCUUCUCCAGUCAGAAAUCAUCGCUUUCCGAGAGUCCUCGAACAAAGAAAUAUCCACUAACUGAAGAGGAGAUAUUUUAUAUGAACUGUAGAGCUGCCUACUUAACUGUUUUCAAAAGCAGCUUAGAAAACAUUAUUUCUAAAGAUCAACUUUACUUAGCUCUUCAGCAUGCAGGAAGAAAUCCAUCCCAAAAGACUAUUGAUAAAUAUUGGACUCCUCAAACUGCCAAACUGAAUUUUGAUGAUUUUUGUAUAAUUUUAAGAAAGGAAAAACCUACUUCAAAAGCAGAAUUGCUAAAAUCAUUUAAACAAUUAGAUGUAAAUGAUGAUGGCUCUAUUUUACACACUGACCUUUAUAAACUUCUAACAAAGAAAGGUGAGAAGAUGACUCAAGAAGAAGUAAAUGCUGUAAUAAAUUUGGCCGAUGUAAAUGCUGAUGGCAAGUUUGACUACAUCAAGUUUUGUAAAUUAUAUAUGACAACCAAUGAGCAGUGUCUCAAAACUACUCUAGAAAAACUGGAGGUUGACAGCAAACUGAGGCGUCAACAGUUUGGAAGCCACAUUGAAGGGUUCCCAGAAAGGGACCCAUCACCAGUACCAAAACCAUCGCCUAGAAUCAUAAGAAAAAGUGAUCAGGAAACAUUCCCAAAUAAAGGUGAUUCCAGGAGUUCUUUACUGGCAACAAGCAGAAAGUUCAAAAUAUCUGUUUCUUUCACAAUUACCAUGGAGGCUAAUAGUAACCGAAACUCAAAGUUAACUGAGCCAAACUCAAUAAAGGAGUGGCAAUGUGUACAAUCAAAAGGUUGCUUUUUCUUAGAAGAAAAUGGUGAAAUCAUUAGUCAUCAAUACAGGAUGCAAAUAGCUCAGAGGUCCAUGGUUUAUUUAACAAUUAAACCAUUAAAUCUGAGCCAAGUUGAAGGAAAACCAUCACCGUGGUUAUCAGUUGAUACUGCCUUGUAUAUUCUUAAGGAAAGUGAGAACCAAGCAAACCUACAGCUCAUGUGUUUUACUGAACUACGAAAUAGAGAAGUUUUUGGAUGGACUGGUGAACUAGGACCUGGAAUUUACUGGUUAAUUCCUUCCACAACUGGCUGUAGACUGAAGAAAGAAAUAAAACCAAUAACAGAAGAAGCCCAGCUGGUGUGUAGGGAUGAAACAGGGGAAUUGUUUCUUACAAAUGAAUUUAGGUCAACUUUAUCAGAUAUAUUUGAAAUAAUUGACUUAGAUGGAAAUGGUCUUCUUAGUCUUGAAGAAUAUAAUUUUUUUGAAUUGAGAACAAGUGGUGAGAAAUGUGAUGAAGAUGCUUGGGCUGUCUGCAGAGAGAAUUUUGAUACAAAGAAGAAUGAACUAACAAGACAGGGCUUUAUGGAUCUGAAUCUAAUGGAAGCUAAUGAUCGUGAAGGAGAUCCUCGUGACCUUUGGGUAACUCUGCUCUCAAUGGGCUACAAUAAAGCUCUGGAAUUAACAGAGGCAUGCCCGUUUGUCAUCGAUAUCUAUGCAGACAAAUGCAAGCCAAGAAUUAAAGCUGUCCAUAUGGAGCCAUGCAGUGGGCAACUUGAGAAGGCCAUUUGCAAAUCUGUCCUUAACAAAGGCGAUGCCAAAGUAAUGGAUGGUUAUGAAAAUAUUAUUGUACAUACUCAUAAGUGUGACACCUGGAUAACUUCUGUUAUUGAAAACAAGUCAGAUAAUAAAGUGAUUAUUCACAUCAACAAUGAACUAAGUAAAAACUGCAUAAACAACAGAGGACUCAACAUAUUUGCAGUAGAAGUGGCACCCAAAUCUACAAUGGUUUGUCAACAUGUAAUGCCUAUGGAUGAACGACAAGAAUGGAUAUAUAAUUGUGUAUAUUCCCUUAUAUCUUAAAUACCAUUUCUAGGAAAUAAUUCUACACAAGACUAUCAGACAAAGAAGAAUUAUUUCAGGGACCCGUCGCUGAUCCGAGGCACACUUUCCACUCGCAUUGCACGUUGUGCCCACCAUGAGGCGCCUGGGCUCCAUGCGGAAAAU